CCUAAGCGUCCCUCUCGUCUGAUUUCUCUUCCACCGAAGCAGCACCUGCAGCUAUCUCUCUCUACUCUCAUUUUCUUCUCCUUCUGUGCAAGAACGAGCAGAGGGAUCACCGCCGCCCAAAAUACUCCGGCCACAAACCAUCAAACCCAAAUCCCUCUCACCCCUGGAACAUACACGUCUCUGGCUCCCUUCUCAGCUAAGCCUUGUUGAGCCCCAACGAAUCCCGUGCCGAGAAUUUCAAAUCUCGCGGCCGUGGGUCGCUGUCGUCGCCAAGCCCACCUCACCGCCGGCGACCCAUUGCCGGCCUCCGUCUUCGCUUUCCAACGCAGCAAACCGAACCGUGAAAUCGUAGCAAGGACGUCGUCUAUAAAUUUGGUCAUGAAGCUAGGAGCUAGCGAAGCAAGCCGAGGAAGGAACUUGUGAAGAUCCGGCCCAAGGCCGAGAGAAAUACUAA